rnacentral:lncRNA from 1 species
UGAAAGUGUGUGGGCUCCCUGGCUGCUGGGAUUCCUUCCUCUGCUUGCUGGAUGGGUGUAGUGGCUGAGACCCUCACAUCACCCUGGCUUCCACAAAUGGCAUUGUUCAUGCACCAACGUCUGCCUCACCCUUUGGGUGAAUAAUGUUAAGCUACAGCCUUACUAACCUUGUAGUGGGACACUUUCCAAAUCCAACUGUAAGCAUUAUUGAUACUUAUCACUACCAAUAUGAAUAAUGUGUGAAUAUGGAAUUUGUGGUGUUGUAUGUCAUGACUUUUAUUAAGUAGUAUGGCAUAUGUAUAAGAAUGCACAUAUGUAUGUAUAUUGUAUGUAUAUGUUUGUAUUAGUAUGUGCACAUACCAUAGCACUAUUAUUGGUAUUAGUAUUAAUCUCCAAGGUAAACCACAGUACAAAAAUUGUUUAGUUAUGAAUGUGGUAGCCUAAGGUACAUCCCUGCUUCUUAUUUAUUUUUUUUAUUUUUUUUUUGCUCCGAUUGUUUACUUAACAGAUUUGCUUGGUUUCAGCAGCUGGUUGCACCCCUUACCCAUGAAAAGCUCCAAUACGAUGUUUUAGUGUUCCUGCAUUGGUUACCACCAGAACAGACUAUAAUGGUCGUGUUCUGAUGCCAGAAUACUGUCAAACAGCUCAAUGCAUCCUAAAUAUACAGUUGUAUAUGCCUUGGUUUAAACUAGUGUUCUUAUGACCUGAAAGGGUCAAAAACGAUGUUUUAAUGUUUAUGCAUUUGUUUCAUUUAGAACAGCAUCUACUGGUCAUGUUUUGAUGCUACGCUACUUUAAAACAGCUCAGUACACCAUAAAAGCACAGUUGCAAAUGCCUUGGUUUAAACUAGUUUUCUUAUGGCCUGAAAAGCUCAAAAACGAUGUUUUAGUGUCUCUGCAUUGGUUUCCACCAGAACAGCCUCUAAUGGUCAUGUUCUGAUGCCAGAAUACUGUCAAACAGCUCAAUGCAUCCUAAAUGUACAGUUGCAAAUGCCGUGGUUGAAACUAGUGUGUUCUUAUGACAUAAAAAGCUCCAAAACGAUGUUUUAGUGUUUCUGCAUUGGUUUCUAACAUUACAGCUUAUAAUGGUCAUGUUAUGAUGCCAGGCUACUUUAAAACAGCUCAAUACACCCUAAAAGCACAGUUGCAGAUGCUGUGGUUUAAACUAGUGUUCUUAUGACCUGAAAAGCUCAAAAACGAUGUUUUGGUGUUUUUGCAUUGGUUUCAUUUAGAACAGCCUUUACUGGUUAUGUUUUGAUGCCAGGCUACUUUAAAACAGCUCAGUACCCCAUUAAAGCACAGUUGCAUAUGCCGUGGUUUAAACUAGUUUUCUUAUUG